rnacentral:rRNA from 1 species
AUUGAACGCUGGCGGCAGGCCUAAUACAUGCAAGUCGAGCGGAGUGGCGGACGGGCGAGUAAUUCCUAGGAAUCUGCCUGGCCGUGGGGGAUAACGUCCGGAAACGGGCGCUAAUCCCGCAUACUAUUAGAUGAGCCUAGGUCGGAUUAGCUAGUUGGUGGGGGAAAGGCCUACAAAGGCGACGAUCCGUAGCUGGUCUGAGAGGCUGACCAGUCACACUGGAACUGAGACACGGUCCAGACUCCUACGGGAGGCAGCAGUGGGGAAUAUUGGGCAAUGGGCGAAAGCCUGAUGCAGCCAUGCCGCGUGUGUGAAGAAGGUCUUCGGAUUGUAAAGCACUUUAAGUUGGGAAGCGUUACCAACAGAGAAAGCACCGGCUAACUACGUGCCAGCAGCCGCGGUAAUUC